rfam:Zootermopsis nevadensis contig10815, whole genome shotgun sequence.
GCCACAGUGGUCUAGCGGUUAGAACGCUGGCCUUGUAAUCCUGGGGUCUCGGGUUCGAUUCCCGGCGGUGCCC